UACGUAGGGGGCAAGCGUUGUCCGGAAUCAUUGGGCGUAAAGAGCGCGUAGGCGGUCCGGUAAGUCGGUUGUGAAAACUGGGGGCUCAACCCUCAGAGGCCGACCGAUACUGCCGGGCUAGAGUCCGGAAGAGGCGAGUGGAAUUCCUGGUGUAGCGGUGAAAUGCGUAGAUAUCAGGAGGAACACCGGUGGCGAAGGCGGCCCUCUGGACGGAUACUGACGCUGAGGCGCGAAAGCGUGGGGAUCAAACAGG
rnacentral:rRNA from 1 species